AAAAAAAAGAGAGAGAUCCUGGACAAGGGGCUCCUCCUUUGGAGCAAAAUCAGGGUCUUGUCAAGGACAGAGGGACCUCUCAUUGCCUGCCCAGCGGGAUUCAUCACUGUGAUGGACCACCAACUCCUGGGUGUCUUUCAUUGGUUCCUCUCUGAAGAGAACUCUUCAUUGCAAUUUGCUAGCCCUGCUUCACGGUUGUGAAUUAGGGGAGGCAUGCCAAGGAAGAGCAGAGCAAGAAAAAGAAAUUCACUCUGAGAUACAGCGUACGAUCAAAGACAAUGAGAACAUUCCUAAAAGCUGCAAGAAUAAAGACUGAUGGCCUUUAGAAGAGGAACAGGAAGAUUGGCAGCUGACAUGGCAGCAGCAUCAAUAUGCUCUGUGAAGAAAUUCACUUUACCACUUAUAACUUUAAGACUUUGCAUACAUUACAACGGUGCAUUAGUGAUACAAGCCGUAAAAUCCUUUUCCAUUCCUUUGGAUUUUGCAUGUGAUGGUUCUGCUUCAGUCACUGCAGUUAGCUAAAAAAUUGCCUGGCAGCCCACCGAACAGGAUUUGCUUUAAGACCAGCCCACAGAGUCAGUUGGAGACUGAGGGCACUGGGACAAGCUGGGCCGGCCGUAGUAGCAUAUGUCUCUUCUGUGUGGCUUCUUUCUCUUAGCAUAAUGCUUUUGUGAUUCAUCGGUGUUGGUGAAUGUAUCAGUAAUUCGUGCUUUUUUAUAGUUAAGUAUAGAUAUAACACAAUUUAUAUAUCCAUUCACCCACUGAUUCAUUUGGGUGCUUCCAGCCCUUGGCAAUUAUGAAUAAAGUUGCUACAGACGUUUUCAUACAGGUCUUUGUAUGAACACGUUUUCAUUUCCCUUGGGUGAAUACCUAGG